CCCCUUACCUGCCGGGUGCCCCCGGGGAGAGCCGUGGCAUGGCUGUGGGUCCUGUGCUCUCUGGGUGUCUGAGGGUUUGCUUUGGGAUCCCAAACCCUUUCCCCGUGCAGGGUUAUGAGGCAAAGACUGCUUUAACUUGGUUUUUUGGUGCUGCGUUAAUGCUUUUUGCUCGUUCUGUGUCCAUUUGCAGCCUCGCUCGUGGUUUCCCCUGGUGUGGAGGCGAGUUGUGCUUCCUGCUGGGAGAGAGAACAGCCUUGGGAAGCUGCUCCAUGACCCACAGCUGUGCUGAGCCCGGCAGUCUGUCCAGCACCCUUUCUGCUGUUGGGAGAGCACAAGGCAGGUGGAGAGGAUCCCCAGGCAUCUGCAGGCACAAGGGACUCAUACAACUGCGAUUUUCCUCCAGCCCUCGUGAAAGGGACUUCCAGGAUACUCUUGGGAAUGUACCAGCUCUCCUGCUGGAGCUUUUCUAUGGAAUAUUUGAACACAAAGGGUAAAACUAAAGUCAGGGAAUAACUCCUGUCAGCAGCAAGGCCCUGACUGAAGUGGCAGCUGCAGUUGUUCCUGUGGUGUGGGCCAGUGGAGCUGCAGGAGAGUGGAAGAGGGCAGAACCUGACGUGAAUGCAAGAACCUGCCAAGAAAACCAGUGGACAAGAUGAUUGAUUAGUGCAGGACCUGAGAGAAGCACCUUGAAUGACAACCUGGAGGAGUUUCCAGUAUUGGAUUUAAAAGAUGGCCUUUGCAUCUCCUUGAGCAAGGAAAGCCAAGAAAGCUUUGCUUUUGCAGGAGAAAAUGGGGCAAGCGGGCAGGAAGAAGAGAAGCCCCGUGACUCCUCCCUGAGCCCCAGACAGCCCAUGAACUGCCUUGCUGGGAAUGGUGGGACGGGCUGGACUCUGCAUUGCU